rnacentral:rRNA from 1 species
CAGAUGGACCCGCGGCGCAUUAGCUAGUUGGUGAGGUAACGGCUCACCAAGGCRACGAUGCGUAGCCGACCUGAGAGGGUGAUCGGCCACACUGGGACUGAGACACGGCCCAGACUCCUACGGGAGGCAGCAGUAGGGAAUCUUCCGCAAUGGACGAAAGUCUGACGGAGCAACGCCGCGUGAGUGAUGAAGGUUUUCGGAUCGUAAAACUCUGUUGUUAGGGAAGAACAAGUACCGUUCGAAUAGGGCGGUACCUUGACGGUACCUAACCAGAAAGCCACGGCUAACUACGUGCCAGCAGCCGCGGUAAUACGUAGGUGGCAAGCGUUGUCCGGAAUUAUUGGGCGUAAAGCGCGCGCAGGCGGUUUCUUAAGUCUGAUGUGAAAGCCCCCGGCUCAACCGGGGAGGGUCAUUGGAAACUGGGGAACUUGAGUGCAGAAGAGGAGAGUGGAAUUCCACGUGUAGCGGUGAAAUGCGUAGAGAUGUGGAGGAACACCAGUGGCGAAGGCGACUCUCUGGUCUGUAACUGACGCUGAGGCGCGAAAGCGUGGGGAGCGAACAGGAUUAGAUACCCUGGUAGUCCACGCC